AUUGAACGCUGGCGGCAGGCCUAACACAUGCAAGUCGAACGGUAACAGGAAGCAGCUUGCUGCUUCGCUGACGAGUGGCGGACGGGUGAGUAAUGUCUGGGAAACUGCCUGAUGGAGGGGGAUAACUACUGGAAACGGUAGCUAAUACCGCAUAACGUCGCAAGACCAAAGAGGGGGACCUUAGGGCCUCUUGCCAUCGGAUGUGCCCAGAUGGGAUUAGCUAGUAGGUGGGGUAACGGCUCACCUAGGCGACGAUCCCUAGCUGGUCUGAGAGGAUGACCAGCCACACUGGAACUGUGACACGGUCCAGACUCCUACGGGAGGCAGCGGUGGGGAAUAUUGCACAAUGGGCGCAAGCCUGAUGCAGCCAUGCCGCGUGUAUGAAGAAGGCCUUCGGGUUGUAAAGUACUUUCAGCGGGGAGGAAGGGAGUAAAGUUAAUACCUUUGCUCAUUGACGUUACCCGCAGAAGAAGCACCGGCUAACUCCGUG
rnacentral:rRNA from 1 species